AAUUGUAUGGUUGGUCAUGCCUCUGGUAUGUACUGGUCUCACUGAUUCCUCCUUCCUGAUGAACCGUAAUGCCAUUAAUUUGGUGUUGCGGGGAAUUUGGACUGUUACUUUGAAAAAAUUAGAGUGUUUAAAGCAAGCUAACGCUUGAAUACAUUAGCAUGGAAUAAUGAAAUAGGACGUUCGAUCCUAUUUUGUUGGUUUCUAGGAUUGACGUAAUGAUUAAUAGGGAUAGUUGGGGG
rnacentral:rRNA from 1 species